UGGGGAAUAUUGCACAAUGGGCGCAAGCCUGAUGCAGCCAUGCCGCGUGUAUGAAGAAGGCCUUCGGGUUUUAAAGUACUUUCAGCGGGGAGGAAGGUGUUGAGGCUAAUAACCUCAGCAAUUGACGUUACCCGCAGAAGAAGCACCGGCUAACUCCGUGCCAGCAGCCGCGGUAAUACGGAGGGUGCAAGCGUUAAUCGGAAUUACUGGGCGUAAAGCGCACGCAGGCGGUCUGUCAAGUCGGAUGUGAAAUCCCCGGGCUCAACCUGGGAACUGCAUUCGAAACUGGCAGGCUAGAGUCUUGUAGAGGGGGGUAGAAUUCCAGGUGUAGCGGUGAGAUGCGUAGAGAUCUGGAGGAAUACCGGUGGCGAAGGCGGCCCCCUGGACAAAGACUGACGCUCAGGUGCGAAAGCGUGGGGAGCAAACA
rnacentral:rRNA from 1 species